rnacentral:lncRNA from 1 species
UAAGAUAAAUACAUGAAACAGACGCCCCUUGGCUGCUGGAAUAUCUCUGUCUGUCUUUAUAUAAAGAAAUACCGCGAGCCACCUCACUCCAGGCAAACCUUUAGCAAAGGAGCAACAAGAGCACCCAGCGGGAUCAACAACAACAACAACAAGGGCACUGAGAGGGCUUUCCUCCUUCCUCCUCGGUGACUUUCCAGGCUUGGCAGAGAGGUGAGAAAGUAAUAGGCAAUGGAUUGGAAGUAUAUCAGAUCCUGCAAAACAUCUCUUUUGGAGGAAGGACAAGGUGCACUUAUACAGCAGCCUGGAAAUGCUUGUUUUGCUUCUGGGUUAUACAGAUUUCAGCUUCCAGAGUUGAUAAGCCUGAACCUUUUGUGGUGCCAGAAGGUUAAAGGAUUACUUCUGAGGCCUUGUCACUGGUGAUUCAUGACAGUCAACUUGUGUAUAGUGCUCAUUGACCUCCGCCCUGCUGGUCAGUCAGUUCACUUCAGCUCCGUGACUGAACUAGUGGUUCCAGAUCUCCUGGCUGUAGAUAUGUGUCCAGAAAGUCAACUCAUGAAUAGACUACCCCUGUAAAUAGAUUAUGUAAAUGAAGGAUAUCAUAAAGAGCAUUCGGAUCAUGCCAACACUUGUCAUCUUGUUGCUUGACCUUCGGUUUCUGUUGUGUCAAGCGCAAAACCAUCUUGCCCUCAUCCCACAGUUUUCAAGUCAGUGCCCCGCAACUGAGAAGAAGAUGAUACCAAGUGUUACCUUGUGAGUUGCCUAGUCUCUUGUGAAUAAAAUGAAAACUUUGUUAUUUUGGAUCAAAUCCUGACUUCAAUAAAAGUGCAGAAUGACAAGUUCUUACUGAUUUUCAUGGGGCUGGGAUUUUGCCGAUAGUUGUAGAAAGGACUUGUACUGCUGAAAUAGUGUUCCUCUUGACUGUCUCAGCAUAUAAAUGGAAACCUUCACCAUACAAGGUUUAGCCUUUAGUGGAUAUAAUAACAGUAGAUGAGAAUAUUGGAAAAACUCUCUACAUGGAAACAGCCUCUGGAUACUUCAGGCAGAGAAGAUAUAACAAAGGGCACUCUCAACAGAAAUGAUUGUUACAUUGCCAGAUGGUAUAAGGUCUGGUCUCCUCAUUGCGGAGGGUUCUGCGAUUCUGUUGUUUGGUCACGGGAUGGUGACGGAGAGCAAAAGCAAAGCCUUAACAAGCAUGGUUCAAAGAACUCAAACUUUGCCCUAGACCCUAUAUGUGGUGUGAUAUUGCAGCCAAUGGCAGGAAAGGUAGGAUACCUUUUCAACACAUACCUAAUGAAUAGUAAUACAAGAGGCAGAAGUAAGUUCUGUGCUACAUAA